rnacentral:pre_miRNA from 1 species
AAGUAUGCAUUUUUAGUGAUGUGGCAGAAAGAUGCAUUAAAAACGCUUCCAGACGAACUUUUAAUGCAUCUUUCUGCCACAUUAUUGAUAAUGUGCCUUG